UCGUCCUGUCGCGACUGGCGUCGGAUGGGUCACCAUCAGGGAGCGACACUCGACACGGUGCGUGGCCGUCCGCCUGGGCCACGCCG
rfam:Curtobacterium sp. MMLR14_010 MMLR14_010_contig_23, whole genome shotgun sequence.